rnacentral:rRNA from 1 species
AUUGAACGCUGGCGGCAGGCCUAAUACAUGCAAGUCGAGCGGAGCUGCGGACGGGUGAGUACUGCCUAGGAAUCUGCCUGGUAGUGGGGGAUAACGUCCGGAAACGGGCGCUUAUACCGCAUACUAUCAGAUGAGCCUAGGUCGGCUUAGCUAGUUGGUGGGGUAAAGGCUUACCAAGGCGACGAUCCGUAACUGGGCUGAGAGGAGGAUCAGUCACACUGGAAAUGAGACACGGUCCAGACGCCUACGGGAGGCAGCAGUGGGGAAUAUUGGACAAUGGGCGAAAGCCUGAUCGAGCAACGCCGCGUGAGUGAAGAAGGUCUUCGGAUUGUAAAGCACUGUAAGUUGGGAGGCGUUACCAACAGAAUAAGCAACGGCUAACUACGUGCCAGCAGCCGCGGUAAUUC